rnacentral:rRNA from 1 species
UGGGGAAUAUUGGACAAUGGGCGAAAGCCUGAUCCAGCCAUGCCGCAUGAGUGAAGAAGGCCUUUGGGUUGUAAAGCUCUUUUAGUGAGGAAGAUAAUGACGGUACUCACAGAAGAAGUCCUGGCUAACUCCGUGCCAGCAGCCGCGGUAAUACGGAGAGGGCUAGCGUUAUUCGGAAUUAUUGGGCGUAAAGGGCGCGUAGGCUGGCUAAUAAGUUAAAAGUGAAAUCCCGAGGCUUAACCUUGGAAUUGCUUUUAAAACUAUUAAUCUAGAGAUUGAAAGAGGAUAGAGGAAUUCCUGAUGUAGAGGUAAAAUUCGUAAAUAUUAGGAGGAACACCGGUGGCGAAGGCGUCUAUCUGGUUCAAAUCUGACGCUGAAGCGCGAAGGCGUGGGGAGCAAACA